AUACGGAGGGUGCAAGCGUUAUUCGGAAUCACUGGGCGUAAAGGACGCGUAGGCGGGUUGGCAAGUCAGAUGUGAAAUCCUACAGCUUAACUGUAGAACUGCAUUUGAAACUGCCGACCUAGAGUAUGUGAGGGGGAGAUGGAAUUAGUGGUGUAGGGGUAAAAUCCGUAGAUAUCACUAGGAAUACCGAAAGCGAAGGCGAUCUCCUGGAACAUAACUGACGCUAAGGCGUGAAAGCGUGGGGAGCAAACAGAAUUAGAAACCCUAGUAGUCC
rnacentral:rRNA from 1 species